AAGAAGAACAACACCAAUCUGCAUCACCAUUCACUAAACCUACCUCACUCUAAAACUAUUAUCAUUCAUUCAACAACACCUCUCUCCUCUCCUUUUUCUCUUCUCUGUUUGUUCGGAUCCAACUCGAGGAAAGAAACAAAUUGGGGGUUAGGGUUUGCACUUUUCAGAAAAUUUUCAAAAUCGAAUUUCCAUCGCAAUGGCUUCCACAAAGAAAAUCACUCUCAAGAGUUCUGAUGCGACCUCAUCGCCUUCAUCUCAGAAUGGAGGAUAUAUUGGCGAGGGCGAAGUACGCGGUGGUGGAGAAUGAGGAUUACGGUAGCCUCAUGUGUGAGCAAUUUGGCACCGGGGAGCAGCCGGAGGAGCUGCUGUUGUGCGACAAAUGUGACAAAGGAUUCCAUAUGAAAUGUGUGAGGCCGAUUGUUGUGAGGAUUCCAAUUGGUUCUUGGAUUUGCCCUAAGUGUUCAGGGGUGAAGAAAGUGAAAAAGUUCACGCAAAGGAGAAUACUUGAUUUCUUCGGGCUUCCAAGGAAUUUGCCUGAUUUCAGAAGGAAUAAUUCUUCUUCUUGGGGUUUAUUGGUGGCAUGAAAAAUACAGACCAAGGAAGCCGAAGUAUUUCAACCGUGUUCACUGCAAAAGUGAAGUUAAGUUUAUUCUUUGAGUACUGUUUUUUUCUAUUAUAGGUUCAAUGCAACAAAAAUGUUGGAGUUGAUAAUAGAGUGGUGCAGAAACGAAGACCGACGCUGCGAGUUGAUGCCAUUGAUCACGGUUCGUUGAGAUGGAGAGGAGCUGAUAUUUUGGUUUUCAACACAGCUCAUUGGUGGUCUCAUUACAAAACCAAAGCUGGUAAUUCUGGGUCUCAUUGUUGCUACAGUCGAUCCCGUUGUUGCUGCUACUGUAAUUCUGGGUGAGCCAAUGGACAUCAUGCAGUUAUCUUUCUGUAUAAAUCCCUAAUUUGCAGAAUGACAAAGUCCAUAUCAUCCAUUAGGUUGGCGAAAUACGGAAAGGAAUUUUGCAGAAUUAGGAUGGGAUGUAAGGGUAGCACAAAGCAUCUAUGGUGCUUUCAGCGGCAUCGAGUAUGUUAAAGCUCAAACAACGGGGUUCGUUCGUCCUGAUCUAUCAAAUUUCACAGAAU